rnacentral:rRNA from 1 species
GACGAACGCUGGCGGCGUGCUUAACACAUGCAAGUCGAACGGAAAGGCCCUGCUUUUGUGGGGUGCUCGAGUGGCGAACGGGUGAGUAACACGUGAGUAACCUGCCCUUGACUUUGGGAUAACUUCAGGAAACUGGGGCUAAUACCGGAUAGGAGCUCCUGCUGCAUGGUGGGGGUUGGAAAGUUUCGGCGGUUGGGGAUGGACUCGCGGCUUAUCAGCUUGUUGGUGGGGUAGUGGCUUACCAAGGCUUUGACGGGUAGCCGGCCUGAGAGGGUGACCGGCCACAUUGGGACUGGGAUGCGGCCCAGACUCCUACGGGAGGCAGCAGUGGGGAAUAGUGCACAAUGGGCGGAAGCCUGAUGCAGCAACGCCGCGUGCGGGAUGACGGCCUUCGGGUUGUAAACCGCUUUCGCCUGUGACGAAGCGUGAGUGACGGUAAUGGGUAAAGAAGCACCGGCUAACUACGUG